UGUAGAGUACAAGAGUAUUAGACCUUCAAGACUGUACAAUAAUGAAGGUUGCUCUUCUUUUUGUCAUUAGCUGCUUCAUUGCAACUGCUUAUAGCAACAGCAUAAGUGCUGGAGAGAUUCAAGAAGAGAAAGUGGUUCCAAAGGAGUCAAUAUCAGCCACAAGUUGUACAUGUUCAUUUGCUCAAUGUAAAUUAAUUAAACCCCUAUACAAAUGUUCUGCUGACAGUGAAUGCAGGUGUUUAGACAACUUUAAAAAAUAUGCUCCUGAAUCCUGUGACUGCAUUGAGCGAUACUGCACAAGGGUUAGCGAUAAGCUAAUCUGCAAGUCGGUCAAUGGAGCUUGUAAAUGUCUUAUAAGUAACUGAGAAUGAACACUACAUUACAAUACAAGAUUUAUUAGCACAUUUAGUGUAGUAUAGUAUUAUUAGUUAUUAUCUUAAUAAAAAUUGAUAAUUGUCACACAAUGCCAAGGCAUUCAAAAAAGCCUCAAAAUUUAACAACAUUAUAAUACAACAAUUACAAAAUAAUGGUUGGGUCUUAAAUUGUACUUUCCCAAUAAAA